rnacentral:rRNA from 1 species
CCUACGGGAGGCAGCAGUGAGGAAUAUUGGUCAAUGGACGAGAGUCUGAACCAGCCAAGUAGCGUGCAGGAUGACUGCCCUAUGGGUUGUAAACUUCUUUUAUACAGGAAUAAAACGAGGCACGUGUGCCUUUUUGCAUGUACUUUAUGAAUAAGGAUCGGCUAACUCCGUGCCAGCAGCCGCGGUAAUACGGAGGAUCCGAGCGUUAUCCGGAUUUAUUGGGUUUAAAGGGAGCGUAGAUGGGUUGUUAAGUCAGUUGUGAAAUGUUGGGGCUCAACCGUAAAAUUGCAAUUGAUACUGGCAGUCUAGAGAACAGUUGAGGUAGGCGGAAUGCGUGGUGUAGCGGUGAAAUGCUUAGAUAUCACGAAGAACCCCGAUUGCGAAGGCAGCUUACUAAACUGUGACUGACGUUGAUGCACGAAAGUGUGGGUAUCAAACAGGAUUAGAUACCCGGGUAGUC